UGAGACCGGCGCACGGGUGCGUAACGCGUAUGCAAUCUACCUUGUACAGGGGGAUAGCCCAGAGAAAUUUGGAUUAAUACCCCAUAGUAUUUUCAGAUGGCCUCAUUUGAUUAUUAAAGUUCCAACGGUACAAGAUGAGCAUGCGUCCCAUUAGCUAGUUGGUGUGGUAACGGCAUACCAAGGCAACGAUGGGUAGGGGUCCUGAGAGGGAGAUCCCCCACACUGGUACUGAGACACGGACCAGACUCCUACGGGAGGCAGCAGUGAGGAAUAUUGGUCAAUGGGCGCAAGCCUGAACCAGCCAUGCCGCGUGCAGGAUGACGGUCCUAUGGAUUGUAAACUGCUUUUGUACAGGAAGAAACCCUCCCUUGUAAGGGAGCUUGACGGUACUGUAAGAAUAAGGAUCGGCUAACUCCGUGCCAGCAGCCGCGGUAAUACGGAGGAUCCAAGCGUUAUCCGGAAUCAUUGGGUUUAAAGGGUCCGUAGGCGGUUUUAUAAGUCAGUGGUGAAAUCUGGUCGCUCAACGAUCAAACGGCCAUUGAUACUGUAAGACUUGAAUUACUUGGAAGUAACUAGAAUAUGUAGUGUAGCGGUGAAAUGCUUAGAGAUUACAUGGAAUACCGAUUGCGAAGGCAGGUUACUACGAGUAUAUUGACGCUGAUGGACGAAAGCGUGGGGAGCGAACAGGAUUAGAUACCCUGGUAGUCCACGCCGUAAACGAUGGAUACUAGCUGUUUGGAGCAAUCUGAGUGGCUA
rnacentral:rRNA from 1 species